rnacentral:lncRNA from 1 species
AAACAUAUCGUGAUGGGCCCAUGAGGUUCCCUAUAUCUGGAUUGUUACAAGUGCUCGAUCAGGCGAAAUAAAGUCGCCAAAAGAAACAAAUAAAAAUGAAACAAAAACUAGUGCACGUACAAUGUGCAUUCCUGACAAUGAAAUUAUGAGAAACAAUAGAAUAUAAUUUGGUGUGUGUGGCAGGAGGGGGGUAUGUUAUUUGGUGCAGACGAUGGUGUUGUGGAUGCUUCUAAAUAUUAAUGAGAUGCAACUUACGGAAUUGGCCG